rnacentral:rRNA from 1 species
UAAUACAUCGGAACGUGCCCAGUCGUGGGGGAUAACUACUCAAGAGUAGCUAAUACCGCAUACGAUCUGAGGAUGAAAGCGGGGGACUUUCGGGCCUCGCGAUUGGAGCGGCCGAUGGCAGAUUAGGUAGUUGGUGGGAUAAAAGCUUACCAAGCCGGAUCUGUAGCUGGUCUGAGAGGACGACCAGCCACACUGGGACUGAGACACGGCCCAGACCUACGGGAGGCAGCAGUGGGGAAUUUUGGACAAUGGGCGAAAGCCUGAUCCAGCAAUCGCGUGCAGGAUGAAGGCCUUCGGGUUGUAAACUGCUUUUGUACGGAACGAAAAAGCUUCCUAAUACGAGAGGCCCAUGACGGUACCGUAAGAAUAAGCACCGGCUAACUACGUGCGCAGCCGCGGUAAUACGUAGGGUGCGAGCGUUAAUCGGAAUUACUGGGCGUAAAGCGUGCAGGCGGUUAUGUAAGACAGAUGUGAAAUCCCCGGGCUCAACCUGGGAACUGCAUUUGACUGCAUGGCUAGAGUACGGUAGAGGGGGAUGGAAUUCCGCGUGUAGCAGUGAAAUGUAGAUAUGCGGAGGAACACCGAUGGCGAAGGCAAUCCCCUGGACCUGUACUGACGCUCGCACGAAAGCGUGGGGAGCAAACAGGAUUAGAUACCCUGGUAGUCCACGCCCUAAACGGUCAACUGGUUGUUGGGAAUUAGUUUUCUCAGUAACGAAGCUAACGCGUGAAGUGACC